AAACUGCCCUCUGAGGGAGGCUCUUGGGAGACUAGACUUCAAGAGCCCCACGCAUUAGCAUGGAAGGUCAAACAGUGACAAUAGACAGGCUCAAGUAUGGGAUAGCUGUGAGGGAUGAAGGCCAAGUGUAUCUCGGAGGAAUCUGAGCCUUAGAAAAGUUAAAACAAUCUGUUCCAAAUCAGGACCCCGAAGGUCUGCCUCCGGAUAUCCAUUACACUGUGUCUCACACUGCCACCUGCUGGGCAAGACCCACCGGCCAGCUCCACCGUUCUUCCACGCCUAGGACGGACCUAGCAGGGAACCAGCAAAGUGCGGCGCACGGG
rnacentral:lncRNA from 1 species